rnacentral:tRNA from 2 species
GCCGGGGUGGCGAAAUUGGUAGACGCAUCAGACUCAAAAUCUGACGGGGGUGACCCCAUGCCGGUUCGAUUCCGGCCCUCGGUACCA